AAGCGAUUCUUCUACCUUAGCCUCUCCAGUAGCUGGGACUACAGGUUUGAGGAAUUUGCAUAAUUAAAGUCAGCCUUUCUAUGGGCAGAUGAUUACCAGGCCUCUCCUCAGUCCUAUCCCAGAUAACAUCAAGCCUGAAAUGUUCACACCAUCUGCAAUUCAUUUCCAUUCUGUAAUUUAUCCAAGUAUUGCUGGGAGUUGAUGUGAAAAGAUCAAAGGCCAUGAAGUCAGAAAGGUGUGGAUUCGAUCUUACUUCUGCCACUUUGUGGCUUAACCUUGGAUUGCCAUCCCUGGACUCCCUCCCAUGGAGAAAGUCUGGACCCAAAGACUGGAUGUUGUCUUCUUCUUACUCUCCUGAACUAACCCAAGAUUUAUUUAUUGAAAAUCAGGGUAGGGGGCCAAAGACCCAUCAUCAAAUAUGCAGGGUGGGGCCUUUAAGAGGUAAGAGACACGAGGGCUCCUUCCAGGUGAAUGAGAUUAAGGCUUCUACAAAGAACAUUCACGGGCUGUUCGGUUCACUUACCCUUUGCCUUCUGUAAGGACACGGAGUUCCUUCCCUCCAGAGGACACAGCAACAAGGCUCUGUGUUUCAAGCAGACAGCAGCCUUCACCGCACGCCAAACUUGCUGGUGCCUUGAUUUUGAACUUUCCAGCCUCCAGAACUGUAAGAUACAUUUCUGUUCUUUAUACAUCACCCAGCUUCAGGUAUUUUGUUAUGGCAGCAAAAAUAGACUAAGACAAAUCCCAAUUCUACUUAUUAGCUGUGUGAAAGAGGGAGAAUUAAUUUCUCUGGCUUCUAGUGUUAUUUCUGUAAAGUGGAGUUAAGGCAGUACUGACCUGAUAGGGUUAUUGUGAGAAUAACUUGAGAAGGUACCAGGCAUGCACCUGAAAUACAUAGGAAUUGAUCAAUAUGUGUUAUCUGUUUUUUUGCUGUCUGUUAUUCUUUGUGACAGAGCUUAUUCAAUGAAUUAGAGUCAUGCUGUCACAAAAAAAACGCAGGGAUGGGAAUUUCAUGAGCAUCCUUAGCAACUCCCAGGAAAACAAGAGCCCAGGAAGGGAGAUGGAAAGAGCAGAUAUCUUCCUGGAGCAGCUUGAAUUCAUCCCAGGCUGAAUGGAAACUUAAAAGGUAAGGCCUGAGACGCUCAAAAGGGCUUCUCAUUGUUCAUGUCUUCUCAGAACCUGAAAGCACAGUGUCUUUCUGCUCUGGCUUGGUCCAUAUUCCACUUGGCAAGCUGCAGUAGACCCUGCCCCUAGGUUGAAGUGCUGGUGAAGAAGAGUAGACAGAGCUUUGCUAACUCCUGCUUGAACAUGAUGGGUGGAGGGGUUGCCACAAUGCCUGGUGGGGUGAGGUGAGAUAAAACUUCUGCCUUUUGAUUGCCUGCCUUUUGAGAGGCUCAGAGAGGUCUCACUGUGCACAGAAAAGGGGAACAACAAAUUGCUUCAGCUCAAAAGAUGCUUACAGAUUGAUGGAUAGUAGAUUGGUUUAAUUUUAUACAUGCAGUUUUGUGCCUGAUGUAUAAUGAAAGACACUGAGGGUGAACUUUACAAAGAAAUUCUAUAGGAGACUAUGUCAGAAGUGGUUGUCUGAUUUCCUUCUUAUGUUUGCCUUUGCAAAGACUCUUGCCCUCAUCAAAUAAGAGCAAUGGUAAGUUUUGUAUAGGCAUGAGAAAAAUGUGGAAAGAAUGACAGAGUCUUACAUAGAAUGCAGUGUUAGAGCUGGACUAAUCUUACAUAGAAUGCAGUGUUAGAGCUGGACUAAUCUUACAUAGAAUGCAGUGUUAGAGCUGGACUAAUCUUACAUAGAAUGCAG